GACGGAAGGGGCAAGCGUUGAGCGUAUGAACUAGGCUAAAACGUGGGUAGGUUGCUUUUCCUAUUUUCUAUAUUCCCUUUGUGAAAGGACUUUAGAUUUUAAAGAAAUUCUUGGGAAAUUGUUAGGGUUGGAGAACUGAUUCAAGGACCAGUAGAAUGGAAACAUAUGAAAAUGAAUGCCAACGGCAAAGGCACCAACCUGGCAAUUCUCUGACACUGAGCCACGGAAGCGCGGGGAUCCAAUGGG
rnacentral:rRNA from 1 species